rnacentral:rRNA from 1 species
CAGUAGCCACGGUAAUACGAAGGGUGCAAGCGUUAAUCGGAAUUACUGGGCGUAAAGCGUGCGUAGGUGGUGAGUUAAGUCUGCUGUGAAAUCCCCGGGCUCAACCUGGGAAUGGCAGUGGAUACUGGCUCGCUAGAGUGUGUCAGAGGAUGGUGGAAUUCCCGGUGUAGCGGUGAAAUGCGUAGAGAUCGGGAGGAACAUCAGUGGCGAAGGCGGCCACCUGGGCCUGCACUGACGCUCAUGCACGAAAGCGUGGGGAGCAAACAGGAUUAGAUACCCCCGUAGUCCCUGUCUCUUAUAC